GGUGGAAGUAGCUUAGUCGGUAAAGCGUGGGUUUGUGGGACCUAAGACCGAGAGUUCAAGUCUCUUCUUUCACC
rnacentral:tRNA from 1 species